AGAGUUAAACAGUACGUGAAAUUGUUGAAAGGGAAACGAUUGAAGUCAGUCAUACCGAUGGGUGAUCAGCCAUUUGGGUGCGAUUGUGUGGGUGAUGAGGAGCCUCACCGCCUUCACGUCUGCAUAUUUGGUGCUUUAUUGGUGUACUUACUCGUAUGGUAGGUCAACGUCAAUUUCGGUCAUCAUAAAAUGACGGGAGGAAUGUAGCUUUGAUCUCGUAUUAAAGUGUUAUAGCCUCUGGUAGAUGUGGUGACUAGGAUUGAGGAUUGCAACGAACCCUUCGGGGCCACUCGUCUGGCCUCUGGUGGUUACUCUGGUAUCGAAAGCUUGCUUAUGAUCAUCAAAGUUGGCUGCCAAAAGGUUAGAACGGGUUGAAUUCGUUAAGGAUGUUGACGUAAUGGCUUUAAACGA
rnacentral:misc_RNA from 1 species